rnacentral:rRNA from 1 species
UGGGCUUGACAUCCCGAGAAGUCCCUUGAAAGAGGGAUGUGCCCUUCGGGGAACUCGGUGACAGGUGCUGCAUGGCUGUCGUCAGCUCGUGUCGUGAGAUGUUGGGUUAAGUCCCGCAACGAGCGCAACCCUUGUCUUUAGUUGCCACCAUUCAGUUGGGCACUCUAGAGAUACCGCCUCGGUAAACGGGGAGGAAGGCGGGGAUGACGUCAAGUCCUCAUGGCCCUUAUGCCCAGGGCUACACACGUGCUACAAUGGGCGGCACAAAGGGUAGCAACACUGUGAAGUGAAGCCAAUCCCAAAAAACCGUUCUCAGUUCGGAUUGGAGUCUGCAACUCGACUCCAUGAAGCCGGAAUCGCUAGUAAUCGUGGAUCAGCACGCCACGGUGAAUACGUUAGGCGGGCACU